rnacentral:tRNA from 1 species
GCCGGUGUGGCGAAAUUGGCAGACGCACGUGACUCAAAAUCACGCGGAGCGAUCCGUGCCGGUUCGAGUCCGGCCACCGGCACCA